rnacentral:lncRNA from 1 species
AGAACCUGAUCAUCGAUCUUACCCCAUUUGUCUAUGAGCCUAUAUGUUGUAUGUGGUUGAGUGUCUCAAAUACUCACAUCUCAUAGACGCACUGACUAAAGUUGAAGUGGUUCCCAUGUCGUGCUUGUCUCUUGUCUACUCUACUUCAUUCUAUGACAAGAUCAAUGAACGGAUUCAUUUUGAACUCCACGAUGAGAAGACCUCCAUCUCCAAGAAUCGACUUUGUGCCCUAAAUUGUCUUUCUCAAGAUCCAUGUCUGGUAAACCCUGAUUCCAUUAGAACUGGUCAACUGUUCUCUAUGUUCUAUCAGAUGGGGUAUACUGAAACCCUAACCACUGUUACGAAGUUCAAGAAGUCUUGCCUUCCUCCUCAAUAGAAUGGCCUUUUCACACUAUUGUUCAAAGGACUGUCUUAGAGAAGAGCUGGCUCUGAUGGUGCAAGCAAGUCAUUCAUGAUGGUGCUGUAUAGCUUGUACAAUGGACUUAACCUAGAUUAUGGGUCCAUUAUCUGGCAGCAGUUGGUUCAAAGCUUGGUUUCUUCAUCCAGGCACUAUGUGAUCUCGUGUGGGCGUUUCUGGUCUCUCAUCACCAACUGGGAAAUGGAUCGCCUUCGUGUUCCAAUAAUGGCGGACUCCUUACUCUCAUCCAUUGGUACUUUUCAUACGACAAAAAUCAUCGUCACUGACCCAACCAAGUUUUCAUUCAUUGGACCCAUUCCUGACACAAUGCUUAGUCGUAUUUCUGUGUCGACUAACGUUCUUCAAUAGUACAGGAAGCGUCCAUCUGUUGGUCCAAGAGAGCUUACACCUGCUAUGCUUUGUUCAAUUGAAGAGGCUGACAACCCAACCAAGAGGGGUAAGAAGCCUGAAACACAAAAAGAGGGACCGGUCAUUAAACUGUAACAUCCAAAAUUUCAAAACAAUUAAAACUUUUCAAAAACCACUCAUUUUAAUAAAGUUGUUACAAAAAGGUUUUCAAUACAUUAUUUAACAGAGUAUUCUCCCAGGUUCAUAUCAUAAAACAUCAACGCGAGGAACGGUACGAUCACGCCUUUGCCUUGCCACAGACUCUUGAGAACCUGAAACAUAAAACCACAACUGUAAGCCCGAAAGCUUAGUGAGAUACCCCCAAAAUACCAACCACAUAUACGCCCUUCCAGGCCACGACCUUCCGGUCCAUGUGUCUCAGGGGACUUCCGUCCCUGCUGGGUAAACCUUCCGGUCCUACCCACGCCGACCUUCCGGUCCACAACACAACAUAUUGCCUUCCGGCCCAUAACAUAUUGCCUUCCGGCCCAUAACAUAUUGCCUUCCGGCCCAUAGCAUAAAAUGCAUACAUAACAUAACAAAUCAUAGAUCGACCCUACAUAUCGGGUCACACCCCAGAUCUAGCAAUCAUAACACAUAAUCAUAUAGCAGUUCACAGACAACAAUCGAUCAACAGAUCACAUAUCAUAGCAUUACUCUAAACAAGAUACCGGUCUAGCCGGUCACUAGCAUAACAUUACCCUACGAAUCAGUCAACAUACUAAAUGCAUACAUACGCCUUUCCAGGCCAUGACCUUCCGGUCCACAUAGCAAUGCCUUCCGGCCCAUAUCAUGUAAUGACAACUACCCGGAUUUCCAUCCGAUAAAAGGGUCGGCCUUGGUGCCAUGAACCCUAGCGAUAUAGUGAGGAUAACUCACCUCGAAACUGCCGACUGAACAGAUAGCUCAAGCUGCUCCGAUCACUGAUACGAUCUCCACCUCUGGACAGCCACCAAUGCACUGAACUCAAACAAUAAACAACAAUUACCAAAAUACCCCUGGAACCACUGGUCAAUCCUUGGUCAAAGACAAGGUCAAAGUCAACCCCUGACUGACCCUACUCGCCGAGUCAACCCUAUGACUCGCCGAGUCCCCAUACUCAGAACUUCACUCAACCCGCGAUCUAACUCGCCGAGUCACCCCAAGACUCGCCGAGUUCAACAACUCUGAGUCCACUCGCCCUUGACUCACCGAUUCUCUAAGAUUCCCUUUCUACACGUCGAGUAUCCCCCUUGGCUCGACGAGUUCCUCCUGGACGAAUCGCGGGGCCACCCCGACUCAACUCGCCGAGUCUGAAGAACAACUCGACGAGUCCCAGUUAAUCUUCAAGCUACUCGCCGAGUCUGUUCAUCGGACUCGGCGAGUCCAUGCCAUGCAACCGCUCAAACUGCUUUCUAAGGUCAGAACUGCUCCGACCAUUCAUAGGUCUGGCCUUCCUAGACUGAUUCAUCACGUAAGGUCCUCAUUUCGGUGCUCAUAAUACACCCCAUGACUCAUAAUUUACAUUUUGACCUAAGGCAUAAGGAUUCCAAUCCAAAACCUCCAUUAAUUCCCGAAAUGCUCAGGCAUGGGACAUUCUGGACUUCUAAAAAUCCCAAUACAGGGUUUCAAUCGUUUGGGGGACAAAGGUAACACUCAAUCUAGCCACAAAAGGGUUCAAUAAACCCUAAAUCCAUAUACAUAUCAACAUAGAAGAAUGUAACACGAAAUAUUACCUGAAUAAUGUGCUCUCUGUGUCCCCAAAUCCUCAGAACGUGGCUUCCCUUGUUGUUCCCUUAACCAAGCCUCCUCUUCCUUGCAAAACAACACUUCCAAAAUCAACAAUGGCCUUCUACCUUGCUCCAGAUGCUCACAAUCGAAUUAGGGUUUCUCUCAGAGGACUAGGGUGAACAAUGACGGCCAUAAGAUCCCUCUUAUACGUCCUAACCCAGAACGGUUAGGGUUUUCGCUUAACAGCGCAGACUCGCCGAGUCCAUAUCCGGACUCGUCGAGUACAGUUGCGAUCCCGCGACCCGAUCCGCGAUCCUACUCGGCGAGUCUAGGCCCCAACUCGCCGAGUCCCCUCUUAAAAUACCCAAAAUCGCAAAUAUAACAAUACCUGAAAUUUCGGGCUGUUACAGCUCUCCCCCACUAGGACUAGACUUCGUCCUCGAAGUCUCAUUCUGAAAAUAGCUCCAGAUGCUGCUCCCGCAUCUCAUGCUCCGGCUCCCAGGUCAUUUCCGAUCCCUUCCGGUGCUGCCACUGCACUAACACUAGAGGUAUCUCCUUAUUCCUCAGAAUAUUGAUCUUCCAAUCUCUGAUGGCCACUGGUCUCUCGCAUAAUUCAGACUCGCAUUCACCUGAAGGUCCUCUAAUGGAACUACUGCCAACUCAUCGGCUAUACACUUUCUCAAUUGCGACACAUGAAAAGUGUCGUGGAUCUGCCCCAACUCUGCUGGCAACUCCAAACGAUAGACCACCGGCCUAUCCUUGCAAUCACACGAAAUGGCCCAACAUACCGGGGUCCCAACUUGCCCCUCUUCCUGAAUCGAAUCACUCCUUUCCAAGGAGAGACCUUCAGGAGAACGAAGUCACCGACUUGAAACUCAAGCUCGGAUCGGCGUCUGUCUGCAUAACUCUUCUAUCGGCUCUGGGCGGUCAAUAACCUCUGUCUAACCUGCUGAAUCUGCUCUGUCGACUGAAGCACGAUCUCUGUGCUGCCCAUCACUCUCUGUAACCAAGAAUUACCCAAGAUGCAAUUCUGCUCUAAAUCUCAACAAUCACCCGACCCUGAUCAGAAUCACACUGAGAAUUCAGGAUUCUCUCUCCUCCUGCAUCCCUUCUGAGUCUCGACAGACAUCCCAAACCGGAUGGGUUCCUACUUCGCUGCCGCGAACACGAUGCUCAAAACCAUACUCGAAAUACUCUAACCAUAACUCUGCUCUGCCGCUUUCACUUUCGUGAACUUGCACUCCUUUUCGGAGUUACACACCUUUCUCUUCCUGUUCCAAGGAACCCUCUUGGCCAUAAUGCCACCCCAACCGGUGCCACGGUGCUCGCCCCAAGCGACACCACCCUUAUUGCGUAACCGCUAUUCACAUACUUUGGCUCUCGUUGCAGGGGUUCUCAAGCCCAUGCACUCUCUCCACUCCACCAACUCACUAUCUCAACUAAACAAAAUCACUAAUCCGGGGCUAGACCUUCCAAUGUAAUCACACCGCAACAUACAAAAUCCGAACUCUCAAACUGAUCCAACAAUACCAUCAGAGUCCCCAGUAUGUCUGGACCGACUCUCAUAACACACACUAGCCACUCGAGGCUAUAUCUCUGUGGGUCCGUACACCCAACUCUGUGAACCCUCAGGUUCUAACUCUGGGAACCUUCCGGUUCCAAUUCUAGAAACAUGCACAACAUAAAUUCCGUGGGAUUAAUGCAGUACAACCCAUCACGUACAUCAAGCAUACAAAUACUCUAAUCGUAUAACCCCGGUUACCUACUCAAACUUGAUCCCGGCCUGCUCCCAGGCCUCCACAAUGAAAUGCCCUAGGUCUGUAUGCCGCCCCGCAUACCCGACACUCGCUCUUGUCAGCCUGUACUCUGAGCUGGCAGAAUACUGUUGAAUCCCAACAGCUAAGCACCCUCACAUACUCAUCGAUCUCCCGGAGAAUUCUCCAAUUCUCCCCCACUUAAAGCACUGACUAACAGCCACCGAUCGCCAUUAACGACCUUCCAGGACAACCCCGCACAAAGAGAACACUUACACACUGACUGUUUCCCACAAGCAUAAGAAACCCUCAACAAACACAUCUCUUCCCUGAUCAAUUCACUCAAGAGAAUCCGGUCUUUCAAUUAUCCACUCCACGACUGCAGAUGCUACCCGACAUCCAAACCAGUGCCGCAUCUCCACUAUCAACUCUCACGAAUGAUAACCAACGGAAUUCCCAAACAAUAACCCAUAACCAAACCCACAACCUGCAAAAGGAUGAAUACCGCAUCGAAAACCGCACAAGGAUACCGGCACCAAAACACCAAACUAUAACCAUACCAAACCAUCAGGGAACAACGAAUGCCAAAGCGAAAACCUGAAACACCAAUCCAUAACCAUUCCAAACCCGCAAAGCAACGAAUACCGCAUCGAAAACCGCACAAGGAUACCGGCACAAACAAUAUGUCACAAUCAAGACAUCAAGAAAGCAUCAUACCCGCAGCUGCCUCCGGCACUGCUCCGUCUCCCUCUGCCGCAAGCUGAUAAGCACGACCCUGAGCCCUUGGGGCUCCGCUCCAUCCUGUCCUCCUCCUGAACUCCUCAAGGUGGCCGGUGCUAGAGCCUGCACCGGUCCUGCAGAAAGCUGUGGACAGUUGACCCUCAAAUGUCCAACCUGCCGACAAUGAUAACAAAUCCUCAAAUCCCGAAUCGGCACUGACUGCCGACAAUCCCGCGCAUAGUGCCCCUCCUUUCCGCACUUGCGGCAUGCACCACCGGACCAGCAAACUCCGGUGUNNNNNNNNNNNNNNNNNNNNNNNNNNNNNNNNNNNNNNNNNNNNNNNNNNNNNNNNNNNNNNNNGGCUGCGACUGCAUCGGAGCCUGCCUCAGCUCACGCAACUGCAACUCAACCUCUAACUCACGCCGCAUGGCGGCCUCCUGCAACACCAACAAGGUCUCGCACCUCUGCGCAGACACGAACUGUCUGAUAUCCCCCUUGAGCAUACUCAGAUAUCGGGACAGCUGAACUUGCUCCGAAGAGAACUCAGGGCAAAACAUCGCCCUCUCAAUAAACAUCCUGGUGAUCUCAGUCACCGACUCCGAAUCCUGCUUCAACCCAAGGAACUCCCGGGCCAAUCUCUCCCUCUCAUCUCGCGGAACAUAGCGAGUACUGAACAUCUCUCUGAACCGAUCCCCUGAAACCGCAGCCCCCUGCGCAUCGAAAUAUGACCCCGUGGUCAAUCUCCACCAAUCCUUCGCCCCGAGCCUCAAUAGGUUCAGAGCACACCUCACCCUCUGAUCAGCAGGGCAUAAACUCGUGGAGAAACACCCCUCCACGUCUGAUAACCAUCUCAUAGCAACAAUCGGGUCCUGAACUCCAUCGAAUGUGGGAGGCUUCGUAUAAUAGAAGUCCCGAUACUGAAAACCCCGACUAGCUCCUCNNNNNNNNNNNNNNNNNNNNNNNNNNNNNNNNNNNNNNNNNNNNNNNNNNNNNNNNNNNNNNNNNNNNNNNNNNNNNNNNNNNNNNNNNNNNNNNNNNNNNNNNNNNNNNNNNNNNNNNNNNNNNNNNNNNNNNNNNNNNNNNNNNNNCAUCCAACUCGCUCGAGCUCGUCUGGUCGAUAACCUCAGACGACACUGAUCCACCCGGAACUCGCUCUCCAGCUCCCGAUCCUGAUCCGGAUCCACUAUCAUCAUGCCUCGAAAUCUCCAUACUGAAGACACCAUACCCAUCUCAGACACUUUCCACAAUCCUGAGAUCCAACUCUCGCAACCCAACCCCUAGAGAUCAUGGUUUUCCUGAUACGCGUAUGGGUCCUGUGCUUUCAGUAGUAUGGGCCCAUACUACCUUCCACACCUACCCANACCCCCAUCACGCAGGAUAUUGCGAAUCCUCGCAUCCAACUCGCUCGAGCUCGUCUGGUCGAUAACCUCAGACGACACUGAUCCACCCGGAACUCGCUCUCCAGCUCCCGAUCCUGAUCCGGAUCCACUAUCAUCAUGCCUCGAAAUCUCCAUACUGAAGACACCAUACCCAUCUCAGACACUUUCCACAAUCCUGAGAUCCAACUCUCGCAACCCAACCCCUAGAGAUCAUGGUUUUCCUGAUACGCGUAUGGGUCCUGUGCUUUCAGUAGUAUGGGCCCAUACUACCUUCCACACCUACCCAUAUUUGUAUGAAGUACUACCACAAAACCCUAGAGCACAUGCAUAACAACUAUCAACCCUCCCCACUAGAGGAAUACUGAGAAUACCCCAUAAGGGACCCUAGGCUACAGGCAUCACAAAUCAGGCAACAUUAUCAUGAAUUCCUGAAGAUCCCUAGCCUAACUCUAGCAUGCUGUGCUAUCAAGCUCAAUAAAACAAAUACCAUGUAUGGUAUCUUGGGGUUAAUUACUGGCUCCGGCUGAUCGUACCUCCGCGUCCUCCUUUUAUUAAAUUUGAAAACCAUUUUAAUUUCUCUUUUUAAAAUCCUCCUCGAUUUGAGACUGGAGUCACACGAAUGUUUCCCCAAUUCACUCAAACCAAGGCUCUGAUACCAACUUGUAACAUCCAAAAUUUCAAAACAAUUAAAACUUUUCAAAAACCACUCAUUUUAAUAACGUUGUUACAAAAAGGUUUUCAAUACAUUAUUUAACAGAGUAUUUUCCCAGGUUCAUAUCAUAAAACACCAACGCGAGGAACGGUACGAUCACGCCUUUGCCUUGCCACAGACUCCUGAGAACCUGAAACAUAAAACCACAACUGUAAGCCCGAAAGCUUAGUGAGAUACCCCCAAAAUACCAACCACAUAUACGCCCUUCCAGGCCACGACCUUCCGGUCCAUGUGUCUCAGGGGACUUCCGUCCCUGCUGGGUAAACCUUCCGGUCCUACCCACGCCGACCUUCCGGUCCAUAACACAACAUAUUGCCUUCCGGCCCAUAACAUAUUGCCUUCCGGCCCAUAACAUAUUGCCUUCCGGCCCAUAACAUAUUGCCUUCCGGCCCAUAAGCAUAAAAUGCAUAUAUAACAUAACAAAUAAUCAUAUAGCAGUUCAUAGACAACAAUCGAUCAACAGAUCACAUAUCAUAGCAUUACUCUAAACAAGAUACCGGUCUAGCCGGUCACUAGCAUAACAUUACCCUACGAAUCAGUCAACAUACUAAAUGCAUACAUACGCCUUUCCAGGCCAUGACCUUCCGGUCCACAUAGCAAUGCCUUCCGGCCCAUAACAUGUAAUGACAACUACCCGGAUUUCCAUCCGAUAAAAGGGUCGGCCUUGGUGCCAUAAACCCUAGCGAUAUAGUGAGGAUAACUCACCUCGAAACUGCCGACUGAACAGAUAGCUCAAGCUGCUCCGAUCACUGAUACGAUCUCCACCUCUGGACAGCCACCAAUGCACUGAACUCAAACAAUAA